rnacentral:rRNA from 1 species
UACGUAGGGACCGAGCGUUGUCCGGAAUCAUUGGGCGUAAAGAGCGUGUAGGCGGCCUGUUAAGUCUUGCGUGAAAUCUCGGAGCUUAACUCCGAAACUGCAUUCGAUACUGCCGUGCUUGAGGACUGGAGAGGAGACUGGAAUUUACGGUGUAGCGGUGAAAUGCGUAGAUAUCGUAAGGAAGACCAGUGGCGAAGGCGGGUCUCUGGACAGUUCCUGACGCUGAGGCACGAAGGUCAGGGGAGCAAACGGG